rnacentral:rRNA from 1 species
AUGAACGCUAGCGACAGGCUUAACACAUGCAAGUCGAGGGGCAGCACAGGUAGCAAUACCGGGUGGCGACCGGCGCACGGGUGAGUAACGCGUAUGCAACUUGCCUAUCAGAGGGGGAUAACCCGGCGAAAGUCGGACUAAUACCGCAUGAAGCAGGGGCCCCGCAUGGGGAUAUUUGCUAAAGAUUCAUCGCUGAUAGAUAGGCAUGCGUUCCAUUAGGCAGUUGGCGGGGUAACGGCCCACCAAACCGACGAUGGAUAGGGGUUCUGAGAGGAAGGUCCCCCACAUUGGUACUGAGACACGGACCAAACUCCUACGGGAGGCAGCAGUGAGGAAUAUUGGUCAAUGGCCGAGAGGCUGAACCAGCCAAGUCGCGUGAGGGAUGAAGGUUCUAUGGAUCGUAAACCUCUUUUAUAAGGGAAUAAAGUGCGGGACGUGUCCCGUUUUGUAUGUACCUUAUGAAUAAGGAUCGGCUAACUCCGUGCCAGCAGCCGCGGUAAUACGGAGGAUCCGAGCGUUAUCCGGAUUUAUUGGGUUUAAAGGGUGCGUAGGCGGCCUUUUAAGUCAGCGGUGAAAGUCUGUGGCUCAACCAUAGAAUUGCCGUUGAAACUGGGGGGCUUGAGUAUGUUUGAGGCAGGCGGAAUGCGUGGUGUAGCGGUGAAAUGCAUAGGUAUCACGCAGAACCCCGAUUGCGAAGGCAGCCUGCCAAGCCAUUACUGACGCUGAUGCACGAAAGCGUGGGGAUCAAACAGGAUUAGAUACCCUGGUAGUCCACGCAGUAAACGAUGAUCACUAGCUGUUUGCGAUACACUGUAAGCGGCACAGCGAAAGCGUUAAGUGAUCCACCUGGGGAGUACGCCGGCAACGGUGAAACUCAAAGGAAUUGACGGGGGCCCGCACAAGCGGAGGAACAUGUGGUUUAAUUCGAUGAUACGCGAGGAACCUUACCCGGGUUUGAACGCAUUCGGACCGAGGUGGAAACACCUUUUCUAGCAAUAGCCGUUUGCGAGGUGCUGCAUGGUUGUCGUCAGCUCGUGCCGUGAGGUGUCGGCUUAAGUGCCAUAACGAGCGCAACCCUUGCCACUAGUUACUAACAGGUAAAGCUGAGGACUCUGGUGGGACUGCCAGCGUAAGCUGCGAGGAAGGCGGGGAUGACGUCAAAUCAGCACGGCCCUUACAUCCGGGGCGACACACGUGUUACAAUGGCGUGGACAAAGGGAAGCCACCUGGCGACAGGGAGCGAAUCCCCAAACCACGUCUCAGUUCGGAUCGGAGUCUGCAACCCGACUCCGUGAAGCUGGAUUCGCUAGUAAUCGCGCAUCAGCCAUGGCGCGGUGAAUACGUUCCCGGGCCUUGUACACACCGCCCGUCAAGCCAUGGGAGCCGGGGGUACCUGAAGUCCGUAACCGCGAGGAUCGGCCUAGGGUAAAACUGGUGACUGGGGCU